rnacentral:lncRNA from 1 species
CAAAAUGUCAUACUGUACCACUGGUAACCGAAACCUGAAGCCACAGAAACAAAACUGGGAAAAAGCUAUGGGGGCAGGAAACUACUGCAAAUGGUUUCUCUGAAAUCAUCUCAUUUAUGUGCUAGUGGUUAACGGACACUAUUUUGUGAAAAAAUAAAAGGGUAAAUGAGACUUAUACCCAAAAGGUAAAAAAUGUUAGGUUUUCUGGAAGGAGCACUGUUAAAGUACUAGGUAUUCUGAAGAGGGAAAUGUUUUUGUACACUGACUGUUGGAAAUGGGUACUGGAGUUGAUGAGCUAAAAAAGAAAAAAGUUAGAGUGUUAUGAAUUGAAUGCUUGUAUCCUCCCCAGACUCAUGUGUUGAAAUUCUAACCCCCAGUGUGAUGGUAUUAGCAGGUGGGACCCUUGGGAGAUAAUUUUGUUAGUAGAGCAGAGGCUUCAUGAAUGAGAUUAGUGUCUUUAUAAGAGGAGAUAUUGAAGAGGUGAUCUCUCUUUCCUCUCUGCCAUGUGAGGAUACAAUGAGAAGACCUGCCUUCUGCAAACCCGGAGGCAAGCCCUCAUCAGACACCAGGUCUGCUGCCACCAUGAUGUUGGACUGCUCAGCCUCCAGAACUGAGUCUUGAGACUUCUCUUCUUUUGGUGUGGAUUCCGGAACUCCUUUCUGAAGCAAGAGGCAAAUAUCUCUCAGCAGAGAAUGCCAAGACCAAUCACUUAACCAUGGCAAUCUUACUCAGCAUGGUAAUUCCCACCCUGAUGGUCCCAAGAUGGCUGCAGCAGUUUCAGCCAUGUUAUCCUAAUCCACCAACAUCUGGAGGUAUCUGUCUUUUCAAUCUCCAUCUAUUACAAAUGUAGGAUACUUUUACCAGAAGGUCCUCCUCUAGACUACUACUCAUGUUUCAUUGGACAAAUUUGGUCCCAUGGAAUUUCUUAAGUCAUUUACUGAUGAGGAAAGUGGAAUUAUCAUGACUGGAUUAGACUACCUAAGAUUCACCACUCCUGAGCCUGGAGAAAGAUAAUUUUCUCAGAGCAAACAACUGCAUAUGGCUGAAGAUAGGAAUGAACUAUAAAACAAAAUUGGAGUCCUCCAGGAAAGAAAGGGGGAAUUAAAGGGAAAUGAUUGUGUAGGCAAAACACAAUAGUCUCCAAUGCCAAAUAAACUUUGUUUUGUUACUCUCUCAUCUACUUUAUCACAUUUUUUUCCUUGUUACCCUUCUCACCUUAAUUCAUCACCAAUAAGCCUCUUUAAAUCAAAUUUUUGAUGGUCAUCCAUAAAUCUCCAAGAAAUUGAGUGAUAAUUAACAUUACAGUGAUAAUGAGCUUAAGGUCUUGUUUCUUCUUGAAAGCUGGGAGGGUAGGAGGGGAGUGAAUGGUAAGAAAUUACUUAGUGGGGGCAAUACUCAUUAUUUGGGUGAUGGGUUACCCUAUAAGUCCAGACUUUACCAUUAUACAAUAUAUCCAUGUAACAAAACUGCAUUUGCACCAUUUAAAUGUAUACAAAUUUUUAAAAAGAAAGCUCUAAAAGAUAUAAACAUCUUCAAGAUCUAUAGGAAUAAAGCAGUCAUGGGGGUGUGGCAGGCAAGAAAGGAUUUAAGGCCCAGUUCGCUCCUAUGACCUCCUCACUUUAUCUCCUAUCACACUACUCUGCACACUCUGUUAUGGCCACGUCGGCCUCUCUGCAGUUCCUCUAAGAGGCCAGCAUUCUCUCACCCUGGGGACUUUGUACUUUACUUCCCUGUGCCCACACCAAGCUUUCUUCAUAUAACCAUGUUACUUAAUUCCUCCCUUACUAUGAGUUUCUGCUCACGUGCCACCUUAUUAAAGAGGUUUGUCCUGACCAUCUUAUGUAACAUAGCAACUUUAUUUCAUUCUUUGUCCUAUUACCCCAGUUUAUAUAUGCUUAUGGCUCUUAUAACCACCUGACAUGGUAUGCAUUUAUUUAUUGUUCUUAUAAGUAAUUAUCCAUGAGACAAGUGUUUAUAUUUUGUUCACAGUUUGUUUCUCUGAGCCUAGUAUAGUGCCUGACACAUAUAGGCAUGUCUUAAAUAUGUAUAGAAUGAACUGAUGGGUGGCUACUGGCCAUGGGAAACUUAGAUGAUCUUUCUGUUCCUUAACGUAGAUCACAACAUAAUUCAAGAGGUACCUCAUCCUGGGCAGGCAUCUUUCUCUAUGAUAAUCAGUAAUACCCAUAGUAAGCCCAAGUAAGUCGAUAUCUUUCUUCUUUCAUCUACUUUCCUCUAAGCAAGACCCUCAUUUUUUAGGGUGAGCUGUUUAUGUUGAAAGCUGAACAGCAUCUAUCAUUCUAAUAAGAAAUAAAAGGCAAAUCCCAACAGAGUAGUGACUGAGACACAUCCUACAACUUAUAAUACUCUAAUUAGAAAAUGUGUUUUAAUUCUGAUUCAAUUGUAUUUUAUAUGCCAGAAAUAGUCAUAAAAACGUAUGUCAAAAUCAUGAAGAAAUAAGGUAAUAUAAUUAGUCAAUAGUGAUUUAAAAAAUAAGUUUAGUAUGGCUUGGAAUUUCCAUUUGAUGUGGAACUUAAGCCACAUAUGCACAAAAUGUUUCGGAGACUUCCAGGCAAAAUGGCAAUAGGAAUACUAGACAUAAUUGCCAGCAGAAAAACAUGGAAACGUCUAUAUACAAGAUUGAAAGGAAGACAGCCAGACUACAGUGAUAGGCAGGUGAGGGAACAGCCUAUGUGCAUUACAUAUGAAAGACGUCCCUGCAGAACCUAGUAACAUCCACUGUCUGUGUGCCGGCAGUGGUGGUAGGUGAAUAUCUGAACCCCACUAGUAUUGCUGGGAAGACUGUGAGAUAGGGACCACGAAGACCAGCCUGUCCAGGCCUAUGCUAGGUGAGAAGAGCCCAGUCAGCAUGGGAAAGGGAUCAUCUUAGAAUGAGGUCACCCUUGCCUGGCAAAGAGAAGGACCCUGGUCCCCUGUCUCUGGGUUUCCUCACCAAACUCAGAGGAUAAAUUCUUUGGGAAAUUUCUCAAGUUAAGGGGAUCUGAAGUGGUAAGAUGAAGGCACAGCAAACCCAAACAGAUUUCUUUUCUGAAAAGAGUUCAGCAAACUGCCCCUCAAUCUCUGACAGAACCCAUUUUAAUUCUCAAUUCUGAGUAUUGAGUAACAAGUUUGAUUUAUGAAAUGCUAUGUAACUUUUGUUUUAAAUAUCACAUUCUCAACUAACAUUUGAGGAUGUAAGAGAUCCUUUUAUUAUAUGUGUUAUAUUAAGUGAAAAAUGUGUAAACAAGUAGGUGAUUUAGGAUUACAACCUGAAAAUAUUUUAUACAACUAAACACACAAAAAUUGAUACAAAAGUAUGGCACAGAUAUACAGUUGGCACUCAGUAUCCAGGGGGGAUUGGUCCCAGAACCCUUUGUGAUACCAAUAUCUGUGGAUGCUCAAGUCCCUUAAUAGUGUAAUAGUGUAGUAUUAGCAUAUAACCUAUGCACAUCUUCCCAUAUAUGUGAAAUCAUCUCUAGAUUACUUAUAAUGUCUCAUACAAUGUAAAUGCUAUGUAAAUAGUUGGAAUACUGUAUUGUUUAGAGAAUCAUUACAAGAAAAAAAAGUGUUUGUACCUUUAUAGCACAGACGCAGCCAUCCAUUUUUUUCUCCCAAAUAUUUUCAAUCCAUGAUUGGUUGAAUCCACAAAUGUGGAGUCCACUGAUGUGGAGGGCCAACUGCACUCCAUUAUGGCAACUGUAUCAAAAUCGCAAAGUUAUUUUUAUUCUUACUUUUCAUAUGUUAGGUGAGAAGAAACUUAAUUGGCCUUUUAUUCAGGAUAUAUCCAGAAUCCAAACACUAUCUACAAUUGCUGCCACUCUGGCCUGAACCACCAUCAUUUUUUUUUUCUCAAAUUGCUGCAUUAGCCUCCUAAUAGUUCUACUGGCUUCCCUUCUUGCCCACUGUGUGCCCCAUGGUGUAGUUUCUACACAGCAGACAGAGUGGCCUUUCAAAGACGUAAGUCAGAUUUCUCUGCUCAGAACUUCCCAGUGACUGCACAUCACUGUCAUUUCAUAAGCCUCUCUAUUAACUAGUCAGACAUUAUGUUCUGCUACUGUUCUUGUACUGACUCUUGUCCAACCACACUGACCUCCUUGUGGGUCCUUAGAUUUGACAAUCAUGUUCUUUCCUUUGCACGGGCUGUUCUUGCUGCCUGGAAUUCUUCCUUUAGUUAGCACUCUCUUCAAGCCUUUAAUGUAACCUUCUCAAGAAAUCCAGCUACCCCCUCAACACACCCCCUCCUCCUUCUAGUCUUGCCAAAUAUCUCCAAACUUCCUUCCCAGAGUCAUGUUGCACAGUUCCAGGGGAUGGGUGUCUCAUAAAAUAGAAUGUGAAUGAUACUUACUGAAAUUGUGUGGAAUGUGAAGACCUCACUUUAUUUUUCUCGAUAGUUCUUAUCACCUUUUAAUACAUUAUAUCAUUUACUUUUUAAAAAUUGUCUAUCUCCUCCUCUAGGAUCAUCAGCUCCAUGAGGGUGGGAAUGUCUGUUGUACUUACUGCUAUAACCUCAGUUCCUAGAACAAUGUCUGGCACAUAGUACACGCUAAAAAAUAAAUGAAUCACAGGGUAGUAUA